rnacentral:rRNA from 1 species
CAAUAGCGUAUAUUAAAGUUGUUGCGGUUAAAAAGCUCGUAGUUGGAUUUCUGCUGAGAACGACCGGUCCGCCCUUUGGGUGUGUAUCUGGCUCUUUCUUGGCAUCUUCUUGGUGAACGUUGCUGCACUUGACUGUGUGGAGCGCUACCCAGGACUUUUACUUUGAGGAAAUUCGAGUGUUUCAAGCAGGCAUACGCCUUGAAUACAUUAGCAUGGAAUAAUAAGAUAGGACCUCGGUUCUAUUUUGUUGGUUUCUAGAGCUGAGGUAAUGAUUAAUAGGGAUAGUUGGGGGCAUUCGUAUUUAACUGUCAGAGGUGAAAUUCUUGGAUUUGUUAAAGACGGACUACUGCGAANGNAUUUGGNAAGGAUGUUUNCAUUG